AUUGAACGCUGGCGGCAGGCCUAACACAUGCAAGUCGAGCGGAUGAAGGGAGCUUGCUCCUGGAUUCAGCGGCGGACGGGUGAGUAAUGCCUAGGAAUCUGCCUGGUAGUGGGGGAUAACGUCCGGAAACGGGCGCUAAUACCGCCUACGUCCUGAGGGAGCAAGUGGGGGAUCUUCGGACCUCACGCUAUCAGAUGAGCCUAGGUCGGUUUAGCUAGUUGGUGGGGUAAAGGCCUACCAAGGCGACGAUCCGUAACUGGUCUGACAGGAUGGUCAGUCACACUGGAACUGGGACACGGUCCAGAGUCCUACGGGAGGCAGCAGUGGGGAAUAUUGGACAAUGGGCGAAAGCCUGAUCCAGCCAUGCCGCGUGUGUGAAGAAGGUCCUCGGAUUGUAAAGCACUUUAAGUUGGGAGGAAGGGCAGUAAGUUAAUACCUUGCUGUUUUGACGUUACCAACAGAAUAAGCACCGGCUAACUUCGUG
rnacentral:rRNA from 1 species